rnacentral:pre_miRNA from 1 species
ACAUACUUCUUUAUGUACCCAUAUGAAGAUAUAAUGUUAUGGAAUGUAAAGAAGUAUGUAC